rnacentral:lncRNA from 1 species
UCUCAUCUGGUCAUUAUGUCCUCCCUACACUCUUCUUCUCCCUUUCUGAAUACACUUUUACAACAGCCUGUCCCGGAAAUGCUGCAAUCAUGAAAGCCAAGAGUACCUUCAUUGCUUCCAAGUGACUCUGAUCUGACUGGGAAGAGACACAAACAUGCUUUAAGGAUUUCCUGUUGGCAUGGGAAAUCCAAUGAUGUGCUCAAGAACCAGAAUACUCUUAGAAUGCAGAGAAGUACAACUGUUGCACUCAUGGAAAAGGCCUUUGGCUUCUGUGAACGUAGAAGAUUUCCCUCCCUUAUUUCACUUCCUUGCCCCAAGAAUCAAGGGUCCCCUAAGGAGAACAGAGAGCAAGUGUGCCUUUGAAAAGCAG